rnacentral:rRNA from 1 species
GUACUGGUUGAUCUGCAGUAGUCAUAUGCUUGUUCAAGAUUAGCAUGAUGUGUAGUAUGAAAAUUAGAUGUGAAUGCGAAUGGUCAUUAAUCAGUUAUAGUUUGUUUGAUGGUAUUUGCUACUCGGAUACGUAGUAUUCUAGAGUAUAGUGCAAACCCGAUUUGGAAGGGAUGCAUUUAUUAGAUAAAGGUCGACGGGGCUUUGCCGUUGCUGCGAUGAUUCAUGAUAAUCGACGGAUGACGGCUUGUGCGGCGAGAUCAUUCAAUUUUGCCUAUCAUUUCGAUGGUAGGAUAGUGGCUACUAUGGUGGUGAGGGUGACGGAGAUUAGGGUUCGAUUCGGAGAGGGAGCUGAGAACGGUACAUCAGGAAGGCAGGGCGCAAUUACCAUCUGACGGGGAGGUAGUGAAUAAUAAAUACGGGUAUACGAGUUGGUAUUGGAAUGAGUACAUUAAUCCUUAACGAGGAUCAUUGGAGGGAGUUGGUGCAGCGCGGUAUUCAGUCCAAUAGGUAUAUUUAAGUUGUUGCAGUUAAAAGUCGUAGUUGGACUUUGGGUUGGGUCGGCGGUCGCAUAGGUGUGACGGUUUAUCGUCCUUUGUCGGCGAUGCGUCUACCUUAAUGGGCGGGUGUGCUCGGGUUGUUACUUUGAGAAUUAGAGUGUCAAGCAGCUACGUCUGUAUAUUAGCAUGGGAUAAUAUAGGAUUUCGGUCUAUUAGUUGGCUUCGGGAUGGAGUAUGAUUACAGGGACAGUCGGGGGAUUCGUAUUUCAUAGUCAGAGGUGAAUUCUUGGAUUUAUGAAGACGAAAUGCGAAGCAUUUGCAAGGAUGUUUUCAUUAAUCAGAAGAAGUUGGGGGUCGAGACGAUAGAUACGUCUAGUUACAUAACGAUGCGACAGGGAUAGCGGAUGUUGCUUUUAGGAUCGUGGACUUAUGAGAAUAAGUUUUUGGGUUCGGGGGGAGUAUGGUCGCAGGCUGAAUUAAGGAUUGACGGAAGGGCACAGGAGUGGAGCUGCGGUUAAUUUGAUCAACGGGGAAUUACAGGUCAGAUAGUAGGAUUGACAGAUGAGAGCUUUUCUUGAUUCUAUGGGUGGUGGUGCAUGGCGUUUUAGUUGGUGGAGCGAUUUGUCUGGUUAAUUCGUUAACGACGAGACUCAGCUGUAAUAGCUAUGUGGAGGUAUCUCAUGGCAGUUCUUAGAGGGAUAUGGCUUUUAGGCACGGAAGUUUGAGGCAUAAGGUUGUGAUGCCUUAGAUGUUUGGGCGACGCGGCUACUGAUGUAUUCACGAGUAUAUAGCUUGGCGACAGGCCGGGAAUUUUGAAUUUCAUCGUGAUGGGGAUAGAUAUUGCAUUGUUGGUCUUAACGAGGAUUCUAGUAAGCGCGAGUCAUAGCUCGGUUGAUAGUCUGCUUUGUACACGCGUCGUCUACGAUUGAUGGUCGGUGAGUGUUAGGAUGUGGCGAGUGGGGGUUCGUGCGCGACGUCGGAGAUUCAUGACUUAUAUUUAGAGGAGGAAGUGUAAAGGUUUCGUAGGUGACUGCGGAAGGAUAUUGU